rnacentral:rRNA from 1 species
UACGGAGGAUCCGAGCGUUAUCCGGAUUUAUUGGGCUUAAAGGGUCCGUAGGCGGACUGUUAAGUCUGCUGUGAAAGUUUACGGCUCAACCGUGGAAUUGCAGUGGAAACUGUUGAGCUAGAGUGUACAAGGGGUGGACGGAAUUUGCGGUGUAGCGGUGAAAUGCGUAGAUAUCGGGAAGAACUCCAGUUGCGAAGGCGGCUCACUGGACUACAACUGACGCUGAUGCACGAAGGUGUGGGUAGCAAAUAGG